GAUGAACGCUAGCUACAGGCUUAACACAUGCAAGUCGAGGGGCAUCAGGAAGAAAGCUUGCUUUCUUUUGCUGGCGACCGGCGCACGGGUGAGUAAACACGUAUCCAACCUGCCCUUUACUCGGGGAUAGCCUUUCGAAAGAAAGAUUAAUACCCGAUAGCAUAAUGAUUCCGCAUGGUUUCAUUAUUAAAGGAUUCCGGUAAAGGAUGGGGAUGCGUUCCAUUAGGUUGUAGGCGGGGUAACGGCCCACCUACGUCUUCGUAUGGA
rnacentral:rRNA from 1 species